CGGCGAGAAAACCAUCAGCUGCCGCGAGAUCGUGGGUGGGGGCGAAAGAGCUGACUUACUUUCCUUUAAUGACGGCCAGCCGACGAAAGAGGGUGGACGAUGGACGAGACGAGAUGUGUUCUUCCGGCUUCGAGAGACGAGUUCUCUGAAGAUCUUGCAUCAGGCUAUCUCCGACGGCACCACCAUCAAAACAGUUGAGUCCACCUUAUAGACCACCGUCAAAACAAAUGUCAAAUAAGCCGGAAGAACACAUCUCGUAUUCGUACAUCGUCCACCCGGAGUUCUUCUGCCGGUAGUUGUUGAAGGAAAGGCUGCUCUUUCACCUCACCACCAUCUCGCGCCCGGCGACGGUUUUGUUGACUAGUUCUUGCUUUUUGUCCAGAGUCUAAGAACCGGUGCCGGCCUUUCGAUCCACGCGCGAGCCGUCCGCAAAGAAGUAUCCCUCCUGCCGAUCGCUGCCAAGAAGAUUCCACGGCUCGCUCGGUCCUGUAGACGUCAGCGAAUGCGACAGCGUGGACAGGGAAGGGUGUGCCGAUGACCUAGUUGGCGAGGAGAAGGGAGCAGAGAGGCGAGGGGCGAGAAGACAAAGUGCCUUCAUCUUCCUUGAACCCCAUCGCCCCGUUCGGUCUUGCUCGACUCAGAAACAAAGGUGAGCAUUUUUGGUUCGGCCUCUUGUGUCAGCGAAAUGCAUGAAUUUUACGGCUGAUUUGGAGCUUUACUUGAUGUUGCCUCUUCGCCGCUGCAAUCACCGCCAUUAGCCGCCGCAAUACUGCCUCUUCACCGCUUCACCGCCAUCAUGCUGCUGCUUCCCUUCACGCUACAUAUCAUGUGUCGGUGCACCACUACAGGGCAGCAUGUGCUGUGCCACCGAUCGGUCGACAAACCGGCUCGGACUAGUAAGUCAAACCUUGGUAUACAUUUGAUAUAUUUCAAGAUUUAUGACUUUGGGAAGACCUCACCAAAGAAUUAACCCCACAUCUCAUCACUUGUAAUGUCACAUUUUCAAACACAUCAGAUGUUUGAAAUGCCUUGUAUCGGUUUAUAAGGAUUAUAUGAGUCUACUAUAAAUAACUUGAGUUUAAGUAUCAACGUUGGUUUAUAAGGAUUCAGAUGAUUUUACUACAGUGGAUCCAUCAAGUUAAUAAGACAAUUAGCCCAUUGAGUUAGUCAUGAUAAAUGGCACUAAAAAAUUAUCUAAAAAAUGUUAAUUUCUGUUUUGAAGACCCUAAUGGUUCUAAAAGAUAAGAUAUGAGUAGCAUAAGUGUUGAUUAAAGUAAUCAGAUUCUUCCAUGCAGCAGACUGGAUUGAUGCAGAAUGAUCUCUGAGAAAGGUUAAUUUGACAUCCAUGAAACUUCUUAUUUAUGUUCUUUUGACUAUCACCUCUAACCACAAUGAAAUAUAAUUUUAUGGAAGUUUCUCUAAAUAAAGAUUCUGAAACACUUUCAAACUUGAAAUUUUGAUUACAGCUUCACAGCAGAUACUUCAAGUGUGUUUAAAGACAGCAAAUACUUCAAGCUGGAGCAGAGUGAUAUCAGCAGAGAAAUAGGAUGGCUGGAUCCAAGCAGCACUCAUCAACAAGAAAUCAGCAGCAGAAUAGGGCGGCAAGGCUGCGAAACAAAACAUUCUUGUUAGUGGAGAAGUCAUCAAAAAACCGUAGUUCCUUUGACUAUCCUUACUGUUCCAUCGACUACCCUUACUGCUCCAUUGACUACUAAGCUGCAUAAGUCUGUUAGCAAUACUAACUCUGCUUAUUUAGAUCGUGUUACUGAAAAGAAGCUCUUGGGGAAGUACUAAAUGGUGAUCGGGUCGAUGCUCCAUAUGAGUUCAAUUUUCUGGAGGAAAAGCAGUUAAAGUCUCUUUGUGAGAAAAACUUAUCAAAGGAAGAUGUUGCAAAGUUCAGACAUGCUGUAUCAAGGGACUACUACUUUGAAAUGUAUUAUGAUGAUAUGCCUCCAUGGUGAUUCUUGGGCAAGACUUAAGAGGGACAAGACUGAUUCAGGCAAAGACAAUCACUUGUUCUUUAAACACAUCCACUUGAAUAUUCUUUACAAUGAUGAUAGGGUUAUAUAGAUCAAUGUCCAACAUUAUUGUGGAUAUCUUGGAGGAUAAGGAAUUGGAUGUAGAGUUUUUAUAUUCUGUUACAUGGAAAAAGAUUGACAUAUCUUUUGAAGAAAGGAUAUUGACCAUCUGCUUUCUGCUUGAUUGCCUGAUAGCGUAUUGGACGAUUACGAAGAUGGUGAUAUCUGCAUUGCAUUUGGCGAAGUGCUUCGCAGUGCCAUAUCUUCAGGACGUCGUGUGGUUUGCCAUGUCAGUUUCUCGUUCUGCUUCCACAUUUACGAAGUCCGCCUCUUGCUUUGACUACAAUCUUUUUACUCAUCUUCUUGGAUUUGUUAGAAAUUUUAGCUACAUUAGUCUAUCUUUGAAGCAGAUCAUUCAUAAAAUUUAAAAGGUCAAGUGCCCAGUUUUUGUAAUUCAUGUAAGUGCUUUGUUUUAAAUAUAUGCGUUUUGUCCUGCAAACAA